rnacentral:rRNA from 1 species
UACAGAGGUCCCAAGCGUUGUUCGGAUUCAUUGGGCGUAAAGGGUGCGUAGGCCGCGCCAUAAGUCGGAUGUGAAAUCUCGGGGCUCAACCCUGAAACUGCAUUCGAUACUGUGGUGCUAGAGGACUGGAGAGGAAACUGGAAUUCACGGUGUAGCAGUGAAAUGCGUAGAUAUCGUGAGGAAGACCUGUGGCGAAGGCGGGUUUCUGGACAGUACCUGACGCUGAGGCACGAAGGCCAGGGGAGCAAACGGG